rnacentral:rRNA from 1 species
AUUGAACGCUGGCGGCAGGCCUAACACAUGCAAGUCGAACGCGUGGCGGACGGGGGUGUAAUGUCUGGGGAAAUUCGCGCUGGCGGGGGAUAACUCCUUGGGACGGGAGCUCUUACCGCAUACCAUCGGGUGUGCCCAGAUGGGAUUAGCUAGUGGGGGGGGUAACGGCUCACCUAGGCGACGAUCCCUAGCUGGUCUGAGAGGAGGACCAGCCACACUGGAACUGAGACACGGUCCAGACUCCUACGGUAGGCAGCAGUGGGGAAUAUUGCACAAUGGGCGCAAGCCUGAUGCAGCCAUGCCGCGUGUAUGAAGAAGGCCUUCGGGUUGUAAAGUACUUUCAGCGAGGAGGCGUUACUCGCAGAAGAAGCACCGGCUAACUCCGUGCCAGCAGCCGCGGUAAUAC